rnacentral:rRNA from 1 species
GAUGAACGCUGGCGGCGUGCCUAAUACAUGCAAGUCGAGCGAACGGACGAGAAGCUUGCUUUUCUGAUGUUAGCGGCGGACGGGUGAGUAACACGUGGAUAACCUACCUAUAAGACUGGGAUAACUUCGGGAAACCGGAGCUAAUACCGGAUAAUAUUUUGAACCGCAUGGUUCAAAAGUGAAAGACGGUCUUGCUGUCACUUAUAGAUGGAUCCGCGCUGCAUUAGCUAGUUGGUAAGGUAACGGCUUACCAAGGCAACGAUGCAUAGCCGACCUGAGAGGGUGAUCGGCCACACUGGAACUGAGACACGGUCCAGACUCCUACGGGAGGCAGCAGUAGGGAACCUUCCGCAAUGGGCGAAAGCCUGACGGAGCAACGCCGCGUGAGUGAUGAAGGUCUUCGGAUCGUAAAACUCUGUUAUUAGGGAAGAACAUAUGUGUAAGUAACUGUGCACAUCUUGACGGUACCUAAUCAGAAAGCCACGGCUAACUACGU